AUUGAACGCUGGCGGCAGGCCUAACACAUGCAAGUCGAACGGUAACAGGAAGCAGCUUGCUGCUUCGCUGACGAGUGGCGGACGGGUGAGUAAUGUCUGGGAAGCUGCCUGAUGGAGGGGGAUAACUACUGGAAACGGUAGCUAAAACCGCAUAAUGUCGCAAGACCAAAGAGGGGGACCUUCGGGCCUCUUGCCAUCGGAUGUGCCCAGAUGGGAUUAGCUUGUUGGUGGGGUAACGGCUCACCAAGGCGACGAUCCCUAGCUGGCCUGAGAGGAUGACCAGCCACACUGGGACUGAGACACGGUCCAGACUCCUACGGGAGGCAGCAGUGGGGAAUAUUGCACAAUGGGCGCAAGCCUGAUGCAGCCAUGCCGCGUGUAUGAAGAAGGCCUUCGGGUUGUAAAGUACUUUCAGCGGGGAGGAAGGGAGUAAAGUUAAUACCUUUGCUCAUUGACGUUACCCGCAGAAGAAGCACCGGCUAACUCCGUG
rnacentral:rRNA from 1 species